UGUAGAGGAGGCAGGGUAGCCUAGUGGUUAGAGUGUAGAGGCGGCAGGGUAGCCUAGUGGUUAGAGUGUAGAGGCGGCAGGGUAGCCUAGUGGUUAGAGUGUAGAGGUGGCAGGGUAGCCUAGUGGUUAGAGGGGAGGGGCGGCAGGGUAGCCUAGUGGUUAGAGUGUAGAGGCGGCAGGGUAGCCUAGUGGUUAGAGUGUAGAGGUGGCAGGGUAGCCUAGUGGUUAGAGUGUAGAGGUGGCAGGGUAGCCUAGUGGUUAGAGUGUAGGGGCGGCAGGGUAGCCUAGUGGUUAGAGUGUAGAGGCGGCAGGGUAGCCUAGUGGUUAGAGUGUAGAGGCGGCAGGGUAGCCUAGUGGUUAGAGUGUAGAGGCGGCAGGGUAGCCUAGUGGUUAGAGUGUAGAGGCGGCAGGGUAGCCUAGUGGUUAGGGUAGCCUAGUGGUUAGAGUGUAGAGGUGGCAGGGUAGCCUAGUGGUUAGAGUGGAGAGGCGGCAGGGUAGCCUAGUGGUUAGAGUGUAGAGGCGGCAGGGUAGCCUAGUGGUUAGAGUGUAGAGGCGGCAGGGUAGCCUAGUGGUUAGAGUGUAGAGGCGGCAGGGUAGCCUAGUGGUUAGAGUGUAGAGGCGGCAGGGUAGCCUGGUUAGAGUGUAGAGGCGGCAGGGUAGCCUCGUGGUUAGAGUGUAGAGGCGGCAGGGUAGCCUCGUGGUUAGAGUGUAGAGGCGGCAGGGUAGCCUCGUGGUUAGAGUGUAGAGGCGGCAGGGUAGCCUCGUGGUUAGAGUGUAGAGGCGGCAGGGUAGCCUCGUGGUUAGAGUGUAGAGGCGGCAGGGUAGCCUCGUGGUUAGAGUGUAGAGGCGGCAGGGUAGCCUCGUGGUUAGAGUGUAGAGGCGGCAGGGUAGCCUCGUGGUUAGAGUGUAGAGGCGGCAGGGUAGCCUCGUGGUUAGAGUGUAGAGGCGGCAGGGUAGCCUCGUGGUUAGAGUGUAGAGGCGGCAGGGUAGCCUCGUGGUUAGAGUGUAGAGGCGGCAGGGUAGCCUCGUGGUUAGAGUGUAGAGGCGGCAGGGUAGCCUCGUGGUUAGAGCGUUGGACUAGUAUCCGGAAGGGUGCAAGUUCAAAUUCCCGAGCUGACAGGGUACAAAUCUGUCGUUCUGCCCCUGAACAGGCAGUUAACCCACUGUUCCUAGGCCGUCAUUGAAAAUAAGAAUUUGUUCUUAACUGACUUGCCUAG